rnacentral:rRNA from 1 species
GUCACCUGAUUAGGCAUGUUGUUGAGGUAAAUACUCAACAAACCGACGAUCAGUAAGGGCUCUUAACGGAGAGGCCCUGAGAAGGAAUCUGAGACACUAUUCCUAGCUCUAUGGAGUGCAGCAGGCGGGAGAAUUUUCCAAUGUCCGAAAGGAUGAGAAAGGAAUCCAAAGUGUUUCUCUUAGAGAAACUUUUGCCGACUAUAAAAAGGUCGGAGAAUAAGGACUGGGUAAGACUGGUGCCAGCCGCCGCGGUAAUCCCAGCAGUCCAAAUCGCAAUCGCAUUUAUUAGGUCUAAAACAUUCGUAGCUUGUUAGGUAAGUUCUCUGUGAAAUCGUAGCGCUUAACGUAACGGCGUGCAGGGGAUACUGCUUAACUAGAGAUCGGGAGACGUAACAAGUACGGAAGAGGUAGUGGUAAAAUAUUUUAACCUCAUCUGGACUAACAAUGGCGAAGGCAUGUUACGAGAACGAUUCUGACGGUGAGGAAUGAAGGCCGGGGGCGCAAAAUGGAUUAGAUACCCAUGUAGUCCCGGCAGUAAACACUGCUUACUAAACAUUGUGUUCUCUUAGUGAGGAUGCAGUGCUGAAGAGAAGUCGUAGAGUAAGCUACCUGGGGAGUAUAGCCGCAAGGCCGAAACUUAAAGAAAUUGGCGGGGGGACACACAAGGGGUGACGCGUGCGGUUCAAUUAGAUACUACACCGUGAACCUCACCAGGAGCGACAGCAGGAUGAAGGUCAGUCUGAAGGGCUUACCUGACACGCUGAGAGGAGAUGCAUGGCCGACGUAAGCUUGUGCCGUGAGGUGCCCUGUUAAAUCAGGUAACAAGCGAGACCUGCAUGUAUAAUUGCUACUUGGAGAAAGAGCACAUUAUACAGACUGCCAGAGUAAUCUGGAGGAAGGCGCAGUCAACGUUAGGUGAGUACGUCCCGAAUCCCCUGGGCUACACGCGCGCGGCAAUGCUACAUGCAAUGAGACGCGACUCUGAAAGGAGAAGCAAAUCCCUUAAAAUGUAGCUUAGUUUAGAUUGAAGUCUGCAACUCGACUUCAUGACACUGGAAUCCCUAGUAAUCGGAUGUUAGCAGCGUCCGGUGAAUAAGUCCCUGUUCCUUGCACACACUGCCCAUCAAGCCAACCGAAUUAUGUUUGGAUGAAGUCCGCAAGGAAAGAAUUCAGAUAUGAUAAGGUAGGUUAAGUUGUCACAAGGUA